UACGUAGGUGGCAAGCGUUGUCCGGAUUUACUGGGCGUAAAGGAUGCGUAGGUGGAUAUGCAAGUCAGAUGUGAAAUACCCGGGCUUAACUCGGGUGCUGCAUUUGAAACUAUAUAUCUAGAGUGCAGGAGAGGUAAGUGGAAUUCCUAGUGUAGCGGUGAAAUGCGUAGAGAUUAGGAAGAAUACCAGUGGCGAAGGCGACUUUCUGGACUGUAACUGACACUGAGGCUCGAAAGCGUGGGGAGCAAACAGG
rnacentral:rRNA from 1 species